CAUGUCUUUUCGAGUUAGCUGACAAAAGAGCUCCUCACAGUGAAGAGGAGCUCCUUGUGACACAGCCCAGUGGAUGUACAGCUCCGUGUCAUCAGCCAGAGACACGGGCUGGUGUGCAUGUGUGUGAUUUAUUAAUCAUAAUCUGCCUACCUUCUGAUGCCCUGGCCGUGAUGAUGGACAGCUUCUAAGAAGCAUCAGGACCAGCCCAGUAAAUAGCGUGUGUUCUGCUUUCAUUUAUCGCCGUGAGGAAUGUUCUGCGAGGGUCAAGCAAAACACUGCUUUGUGUGACCGUUCACUCUGCGAUGUCUCAGACCUUCACACAAGCCUUGGGUGUUGUUCCUGUGGGCUACAGAAGAAGCAGGGACAAACAACGCAGAUGUCCUUUAGGCACAAACUCUAGUUCAGGGAGAAAGUGUUCAGUAACCUUGCUGCAGAUGAUGCCCUAGGCCUCCAGUGUCCGUCCACCAGAUGGCACCAAGUCACUGAUGCUUAUAAAAUCCUCUGCCUUCACUGUGCCUUGGUUAUGAUAGGCACUAACACUGGCUGUGUGAGCCUCAGGGAGUGGUUGAACUGAGCCAGGUGUGCUUCGGCUUUAUCUUUGUCUCCCUUUUCUCUGGCCUCCCUUUUCUAAGUCCUCUGAGAGCUAAAGCACUCUGGUUUAGAUUGCAGACUUAAUUCCCAUUUCCCUUCCACGAGGUGACUACAGAGAUUGAAAUAAACCCCAAACAUUCAAAGUUCCUGAAAACAAGAGCGGAAAGCCAGUGGAAAGCCAGCACACAUCAACCCACCCCUGACUUGGGGAGGUUUCCUACAGAGCCUGUAGCUGAAUGGGUCCUGCUGGCUGCAUGGAGCCACCAUGGUUGGCUUUGUUCCCCUCUGCACCGUGCGGUGCCUUACACCAGGGGUACAAGAAACAUUUGCCAGCUCUUGGGAAAGGAGCUGCAAGGUCCUGUAAUACGUUUGGGCUUUUAUUCUGGCCUGGACCAUUUCUCACAGCUUCAGUAAAAAUUCUGUUUUAAAAGUACAUCUGAUUUCUACUGGCUUGUGCGUUUGGAGAUGGAUUAAUAGGUGCGCUGUCACCAAGGCGUACUGUCUUCAGAGUGUGACCGCUUGGGACAUGCUUAAGUAAAACAGGAUUUUUGUUUGUUUUGAUCUUAUUAUCUGCAUUGGGCAGAUUCUGGCACUUUUCUUGGGCAGUGUGACUGAAAAGGUUCGCUACCUGAAGCAACAGCAUUUCACCCUCUACAAAUACUGUAAAUACUGUAUUGAUGCUGCCUCUUCCACUUGGCUUGAGAGUGGAUUCUGUCCAAGAGAAAUAAAAGCUGGCUGGGGCCACCUGUGCUCAUGUCCUCAGUAGUAUUUCAGAGCCAGUAAAAAGAUUAAGAAUAGUAAAUAGAAAAAAAUAAAAUAAAAUCCUUUAUUUCAUGGAGAUUUCAUCACAGAGUUCAAAGAUGUUCGCUAUGUCACUAAAUAAGAAACUAUAGCUGUAUGUUAACAUUCAUCUACAGUUUCCAUCAGCUGAUACACCUUCAUGUCUCAGUUGCAUGCCCUUUACUACCUGAAAACAAACAAACAAACAAACAAACCACCUUAUAGGACACUGGCACAAGCCUCAAGAUACCUGCUCUGAGCAUCCUCUCUCUGCUCCAAGCAUCUUGUCUCUGCUUCUGCUUUACUUCAGACAUGCUACACAAAUACCUUUUUCCUAUCUGUAAAUUAGUGUGGUCAUUCUCUUCUUCCCAUAUGUUUAUUUAUACUUUAAAGAUUUUAUCACAAUGUGUUUUUCCACAAUUUAACUCAUCGCUGUGGCUAUCCCUAGAUAUUAAUACAAUACUUGAAUGCUAUGAUUUUUUAUCGAUUUUUUUUUCCUGUCCAUAAUUUACUAAUAAGACUCAGGAAACUUUUCCAGAACUUUAAGGCAGCCUUUGCCAAAGGAUUGUAAAAUGUUUUUGAGAUUGCCAGGAUGAACAUGCUAAAGAAGUGCCAAGUGGGAUGAUAACAGCCUCCGUUUGUUACCUUGGAACUUCAGUGAAAGCAAGUCGUGAAGCUCUUGUCCCCAGCUGGUGGAAACUGGGCUGUCUCUGGCAAGUCUCAUAAGACUUUCUAAUUCCCUACCUCAGGUCUUCAUCCUGCUUUUCAUUGAUCUACUAUUCUUAGCGUGCUGGUGAGUUGCUUGUUUUCAGUGCAAACUUGAUUCACACAGCCCAAAGUUGGCACUGUAAGUGAAGCACUCGCUAUGGUUUAUGUUACCUCAUUAUUUUUCUUUCUGACACGGGGGUGUUUUGCAAAGCUUAAUUGAAACCAACAGGUAAUUGUCUGACCUGCACUAGUUAGAACUGACCUACUAGGUAUCAAUUUUGUAUACUUGGACUGCUUUUUUGGCUUGCACACAAAUAUUUAUGGCAAAUUGGUUUUAAACCUAUUGUAAGAGGGUUGCUGUGGCACAACAGGAUUAUUUACGUCUCAGAAUUUCACCCCUUAAAAUCCAGGUUUUAUUUCACAAAUAAAAAUGCAUCUGUGCA